AUUAGGGAGACAUAAGUCUUCAGAAGGUUAUAAUAAAGUACAUUAUCUACUUCAGAAAUAGGGCUAUUAGCUCAGCUGGUUAGAGCACACCCCUGAUAAGGGUGAGGCCUCUGGUUCAAGUCCAGAAUAGCCCAAACAGAAGUAUCACUCUAUUGGUAGAGUGCUGCCCUUACAAGGCAGGUGUCACUGGUGUAAUACCACGUAACUCAACAUGAUAUUUAUAUCAUAACUAAAUCUUGAAAACUGUAGAGUGGCAGAUAUAGAAAA
rnacentral:tRNA from 1 species